CCUACGGGGGGCAGCAGUCGAGAAUCAUUCACAAUGGGGGAAACGCUGAUGGUGCGACGCCGCGUGGGGGAAUGAAGGUCUUCGGAUUGUAAACCCCUUUCAUGUGGGAGCAAAUUAAAAAUAUAGUACCACAAGAGGACGAGACGGCUAACUCUGUGCCAGCAACCGCGGUAAUACAGCGGUCUCAAUCGUUGUUCUGAAUCACUGGGCGUAAAGCGUUCGUAGGCUGUUUCGUAAGUCGUGUGUGAAAGGCGCGGGCUCAACCCGCGGACGGCACAUGAUACUGCGAGACUAGAGUGAUGGAGGGGGAAGCGGAAUGCUCGGUGUAGCAGUGAAAUGCGUAGAUAUCGAGCGGAACACUCGUGGCGAAGGCGGGUUCCUGGACAUUAACUGACGCUGAGGCACGAAGGCGAGGGGAGCGAAAGGGAUUAGAUACCCCAGUAGUC
rnacentral:rRNA from 1 species